AACGAACGCUGGCGGCAUGCCUAACACAUGCAAGUCGAACGGACCUAAGGCUUCGGCCGGACGGUUAGUGGCGGACGGGUGAGUAACGCGUGGGAAUCUGCCCUUGAGUGGGGAACAACUGCUGGAAACGGCAGCUAAUACCGCAUACGCCCUUAGGACUUUGGUCUUUAGGGGAAAGCUUUAUGCGCUCAAGGAGGAUCCCGCGUCCGAUUAGCUAGUUGGCGGGGUAACGGCCCACCAAGGCUUCGAUCGGUAGCUGGUCUGAGAGGAUGAUCAGCCACACUGGGACUGAGACACGGCCCAGACUCCUACGGGAGGCAGCAGUGGGGAAUAUUGGACAAUGGGGGCAACCCUGAUCCAGCAAUGCCGCGUGCGUGAAGAAGGCCUUAGGGUUGUAAAGCGCUUUCACCCGUGACGAUGAUGACGGUAGCGGGAGAAGAAGCCCCGGCUAACUCCG
rnacentral:rRNA from 1 species